UAAACAGUUCAAAAUAGUCAUGGCUGGACGUAUGUGAUAUUAAUAAACCUCAACGUGAACAAUAAAAAUUCUACAAAAGGAUUUAACAGAAUAUCCCUACCUCACACUUCAAAGUUUCACCGUGGAAAACUGAAGUGUACGAGGUAAGGACAUUCUCCAACACGCUUUUAGGUCGAGAAGGUUUAGCUGGUGGCAUUCCUAAGAAGAAGAGGCAAGAUCAAGGAGAUCCCUGUCAUCAUCAUCAUCACACUUGUCGUCAUUGCUUUUGUUUAAACACCUGUGGUCCUUGUCGCCAUCUUGAC